GAUGAACGCUGGCGGCGUGCCUAAUACAUGCAAGUCGAGCGAACGGACGAGAAGCUUGCUUCUCUGAUGUUAGCGGCGGACGGGUGAGUAACACGUGGAUAACCUACCUAUAAGACUGGGAUAACUUCGGGAAACCGGAGCUAAUACCGGAUAAUAUUUUGAACCGCAUGGUUCAAAAGUGAAAGACGGUCUUGCUGUCACUUAUAGAUGGAUCCGCGCUGCAUUAGCUAGUUGGUAAGGUAACGGCUUACCAAGGCAACGAUGCAUAGCCGACCUGAGAGGGUGAUCGGCCACACUGGAACUGAGAUACGGUCCAGACUCCUACGGGAGGCAGCAGUAGGGAAUCUUCCGCAAUGGGCGAAAGCCUGACGGAGCAACGCCGCGUGAGUGAUGAAGGUCUUCGGAUCGUAAAACUCUGUUAUUAGGGAAGAACAUAUGUGUAAGUAACUGUGCACAUCUUGACGGUACCUAAUCAGAAAGCCACGGCUAACUACGUG
rnacentral:rRNA from 1 species